AAGCGCAGGCAGGAGUCCAGAAGCUGAAAGCCCAGCUGGGUAAUGUCAGUGCAGCGUAUGGAGAAAUCCAGAUCCGUCUGGACAAUGUCAGUGCAGCGCGAGCAGCAGUGCAAGGUCACUGCAAUAAGUACUAGCUGCAGUGCUGGCUGGUGCCGUUUCUGCUGGUGCUGAGGAUGAACGGAGGAUUUCAGGCUCCCAGGCUGACAACGCAGCGACUUUCUCCAGCACCGAGUUCUCUUCCAUUGAAAAUCACCGGUGGCUGCACCUGGGCCCACACCAUGGUGAUCGGUGUGGCGUUAAAUUACACCCUAGGCCUCGUUAGCCUAAUGGGAGCACCCACUCAGAAGUUCCCUGGGCUUGGGGCAGCUGAAGGGGAAGGGAAAUGCAGCACUAGAAUCUCUGGGCUCCCUGCGUGUGUCCCUGUGACGUUAGCCUGGGCUUCUCACCUCAGUCUCUGCUCCUAGGUUACCUACUGACAAAGCUCUCCAGGGGCUGGACGUUUUUCAAUGGGAACCUCUAUUACUUUUCACAAGAAAGGAAGUCGUGGGAUGAGGCCGAGCAGUUCUGUGUGUCUCAGGACUCGCACCUGACCUCUGUCUCCUCCCAGGAGGAACAGGAGUUUCUCUCCAACGAGACCAAAGGACAAAAUCACUGGAUUGGACUCACCGACCAGGAGACAGAAGGCAGCUGGCGCUGGGCGGAUGGCACAGAAUACAGAGCAGACGCAAGCAGGGGGUUCUGGGCGCAGAAUCAGCCAGACAACUGGGAUCAGGGGAUUGGAGGCAGAGAAGACUGUGUUCACAUCCAUCCAAUCAAGCGGAAUUUGUGGAAUGAUGUCAACUGCACUGAGCCUUUCAGGUGGAUUUGUAAGCAGGCCCAUGGACCAGCUGGGAUAUGACAUGCAGGUCCCAGCACCUCAGAAAGCCACCUUAAUUUUCGAGCUAGAAUAUUUCCCAGCCACCUGCCGUUGAGGAGCCCUGGGCACUGGAGGGGGCCGCAUGGGAUGUGCAUCGCAGGGACGCUUUGUCUUGCUGUGAUAUUUCUGGCUGUGGCAGCAACAGCUGCCCUUAUGCCGCUCAGUGUGGCUGGC